AUUGAACGCUGGCGGCAGGCUUAACACAUGCAAGUCGAACGAGUGGCGGACGGGUGAGUAAUGUAUGGGAAUCUGCCCAGUAGAGGGGGAUAACUACUGGAAACAGUGGCUAAUACCGCAUACUAUCGGAUCGGCCGAUAUUGGAUUAGCUCGUAGGUGGGGUAAAGGCUCACCUAGGCAACGAUCCCUAGCUGGUCUGAGAGGAUGAGCAGCCACACUGUGACUGAGACACGGCCCAGACUCCUACGGGAGGCAGCAGUGGGGAAUUUUGCACAAUGGGCGAAAGCCUGAUGCAGCCAUGCCGCGUGUAUGAAGAAGGCCUUAGGGUUGUAAAGUACUUUCAGUAGGGAAGCGUUACCGACAGAAGAAGCACCGGCUAACUCCGUGCCAGCCGCCGCGGUAAUAC
rnacentral:rRNA from 1 species